UAGGGAAUCUUCGGCAAUGGACGAAAGUCUGACCGAGCAACGCCGCGUGAGUGAAGAAGGUUUUCGGAUCGUAAAACUCUGUUGUUAGAGAAGAACAAGGACGUUAGUAACUGAACGUCCCCUGACGGUAUCUAACCAGAAAGCCACGGCUAACUACGUGCCAGCAGCCGCGGUAAUACGUAGGUGGCAAGCGUUGUCCGGAUUUAUUGGGCGUAAAGCGAGCGCAGGCGGUUUCUUAAGUCUGAUGUGAAAGCCCCCGGCUCAACCGGGGAGGGUCAUUGGAAACUGGGAGACUUGCGUGCAGAAGAGGAGAGUGGAAUUCCAUGUGUAGCGGUGAAAUGCGUAGAUAUAUGGAGGAACACCAGUGGCGAAGGCGGCUCUCUGGACUGUAACUGACGCUGAGGCUCGAAAGCGUGGGGAGCAAACAGG
rnacentral:rRNA from 1 species